ensembl:lncRNA
CUCUCUCUCUCUCUCUCUCUCUCUCUCUCCUGAUGCUAUGCAGUGCCCUGCUGAGAACCAUUACAGCUUAUAGCCCUGAGGGUGCAGGCCGUCGCGUCAGCAGCAGACACAAUUCAGACCUCAAUUAUCUUCAGAUCCAUCUUUGUCGCUGACAAUUUUAUGUGCACAUCGGUAAUUGUGAAGAAAUUAAUGCAAUGGAGAGCUUGGGGAAAGGACGGGCAGUGCAGAUCAUUUUGAAUUCACCUGCACCUGCAAUAAUUCUCAUUCUACGGAGAAAGUACAGUGGUUAUUUGUGGUAGCAAUGUUGCUAAUUGGAGUCCAGUAAAGGAUAAACGAGUGGAUAAAACCCAAGGUCACAGGGAACCUGGAGCCUAUCCCAGGGAGCAUCGGGCACGAGGCGGGGUACACCCUGGACAGGGUGCCAAUUAAUUUAAUGUAUUCAUUCAUUGUUAUUAUAUUUUUAAUAACAAUGCUGUUCUUCACUAGAUUUCCACCUUCUGUUGAAGUCAAAAAGUUCCAAGAAUGUACUGUAUACACCACACAGUUGUGCUGAAUGUAUGGAAUGAACAACUACAGAGUAUUAAGUGUCAAUUUAACACAGGGGAUUUUGCUGACAUGCAUAUACUAUAGAAAAUGGAAAUCCUUAACAAAGAUCUCAAGAUAAAUCAACUGGAAGACUUAAGUCUCUAUACAUAAAAUGUCACUAUGCAUGAAAAUCUUUAGCUUAUGUGAUCUUGCUGCGUUGUCAUCAAUCAUGCUUUAAUUUGCUUUACAUGUGAUACUGGAUGCUGCAGAAAAGCAGAAGGUAACUCUUUAUCAGUUUUCAUCCUGGGAGAAAUGAACCUGAACUGGAGCUCAUAUGAAACAAGUGGCAGAGAUGGAUGUUAUUUCCAAUAAUGGCAGAAUGUUUUCAGGAGAAUAUAUAUUCUAUUCGCUAACACAUAAAAAGGAAGUGAAGCACAGAAUAUGCUCCUGCUAUACGAAUACUUCAGUACUCAUUAAUUAAACAACAGUGAAUUCGGUUCAAUGACUUAACUGUGGAAAGCUUAGGGAAUUAGAUGUAGAGACAAUAAUACUAAAAUAUUUUAAACUGUAAUUUGAAACUCAGAAUUUCUGUUUACACCAAUCACUGCUAGAUCAGCUAGAUAAAUUAAUUGGUCAGCAUUUACACUUGCUCUAUAAUCUCUGAUUGACUGUGUUAUGGAUUGUAAUAGGAAGAUAAUUGUUAUUGGUUAAUUAGACUAAUUGUAUCAUGUUGAGUAAUUAGAGUAUCAUCAAUCAAGAAAAAUGCUCAUGUGAUUAUGCCUUUUUACUUAAGAAUAGGGCUUUAUAAUUUGGUGAAACUGACCAAAAAUGUUUUGUAUUUCUGAAACAAACUGUACUUUUUGCCGUGCUCAGCUAAUUCAGAUGUUGUUUGAGUUUUGAAGCGUGAAAGUUUUUUUUGUUUGUUUGUUUGUUUGUUUUUGUUGCACUUUGACAUCUCUUAUAUAAAUCAUGCAUACAAUGCAUGGGAAGCAAUUUGUAUGCAUUGAACUGGAGUCAUGUGCAAAUGAUUUAGGGCUUCAG